rnacentral:rRNA from 1 species
AACGAACGCUGGCGGCGCGCCUAAUACAUGCAAGUCGAGCGAGAAGGUGUAGCAAUACACUUGUAAAGCGGCGAACGGGUGAGGAAUGCAUGGGUAACCUACCCUCGAGUGGGGAAUAACUAGCCGAAAGGUUAGCUAAUACCGCAUACGUUUCCGGAACUUCGGUUUCGGAAAGAAAGCAAUGCCGUGGGUAUUGCGCUCCUGGAUGGGCUCAUGUCCUAUCAGCUUGUUGGUGAGGUAACGGCUCACCAAGGCUUCGACGGGUAGCUGGUCUGAGAGGACGAUCAGCCACACUGGCACUGCGACACGGGCCAGACUCCUACGGAGGCAGCAGUAAGGAAUAUUGCGCAAUGGACGAAAGUCUGACGCAGCGACGCCGCGUGGGGGAUGAAGGUCUUCGGAUUGUAAACCCUUUCGGGAGGGAAGAUGGAGUGGGUAACCACUUGGACGGUACCUCCAGAAGCAGCCACGGCUAACUUCGUGCCAGCAGCCGCGGUAAU